rnacentral:lncRNA from 1 species
GAGGAAAGCCCAGCGACGCCGGGCCAGCGCAUUCUUAUUUUAUGUAUGAGCAAACUAUGGAAUGGAAAAGAGAUUAUGAGUUAUUACUUGAUUUGAUUUGCCCUAAGUGUUUUUUAAACGAAGAUCUGGCAAGAGUUAGCGUGCAGUUCUACAUUGUGACAAUUCAUGAGAGCUAAGGACUGGCUGUCUCUUGGGACAAAUAGGCUUUCUUGAGUCUGCAUGAGGCCCUCACCAGAUACAGCCACCUGAUCUUGGACUUCACAGCCUCCAGAAAUUUCCUAGGAAAGAAGUUGUUUCAACUCUCAUUGGAGGAAGUAUAAGGUGAUCUCAGGGAAGGGGAGAAGGGCUGGUUGCCUGCCAAAUCUAUGAUCAAGUCGGCUCCACAGUCACUUUGCUUCCACUUCUAAGUGAGAACAUACAGUGUUUGGUUUUUCAUUCCUGAGUUACUUCACCUAGAACAAUGGCCUCCAGCUCCAUCCAAGUUGCUGCAGAAGACAUUUCAUUCCUUUUAUGGCUGAGUAGUAUUCCAUGUCCAGUGAUUCAAGUUUGACACACCACACCACGGUGGAUGUGCCUUGUCAUGACACAUCUUCUCAGCAGCACUAGAAGAUACAUCCAAAGUCCUGUGAGCAAGGACACAGCGAGAAGAUGGCUGUCUACAAGCCAGGAAGAGAGUCCUCACCAGAACCAAACCCUGCUGGACUUUGAUCUUGGACUUCCCAGCCUCUAAAACUGUGAAGACAUAAAUUUCUGUUGUUAAACCCACACAGGUCUGUGGUAUCUGUUUAUUAUGGCAGCCCAGUAAGACUAAGACAGGCCAUCACAAGACAUGAAUGUUUUGGACCUUCUCUUGGGCCCUAGUAAACAGAAAUCAGGUACGCAAAAGGGGUAAGCAUAUAAUUUCCUUUAUUUUUAUUUUUAAUGUGUAAGCCUUAGGUUUUUAUUUAUUUAUUUGGUGAAGACAAUCACAUUGUGUACGUACAAUGUAAUUAUAUUGUUGACGAGAAGUUACUUAAAAUUUUUUAAAAAUUCUAAUCGAUUUCUAGAUGUCCAAAUGAGAAGAUAGCAUUUAUAUACCAUCAGAACAUAAAAUAAUUCAAAAAAAUAAAUUUAUAAAACAAUAUGUAUUAUAUUGAGAGAAAGAGAGGGAGAGAGUAUUGGAAGAAUAUAUGCAAAUACAAUGUGAUAAUGUGAUGUCUUUGUGAGAAUGCUAUAUGUCAUUUUCUUUGUUUAUAUGAAUUUUUACAAUUUUUACCUUUGAAAUAUAAAAAAGAGAGAAUAAAAGUCAUUGAAAAAAUCAAAA